UACAGAGGUCCCAAGCGUUUGUCCGGAAUCAUUGGGCGUAAAGCGCGCGUAGGCGGCCCUGUAAGUCCGUUGUGAAAGUCAAAGGCUCAACCUUUGAAAGCCGAUGGAUACUGCAGGGCUAGAGUCCGGAAGAGGCGAGUGGAAUUCCUGGUGUAGCGGUGGAAUGCGCAGAUAUCAGGAGGAACACCAAUAGCGAAGGCAGCUCGCUGGGACGGUACUGACGCUAAGGCGCGAAAAGCGUGGGGAGCGAACGAGG
rnacentral:rRNA from 1 species